rnacentral:tRNA from 1 species
UGAUCGCGGCGCGGUUGCACCGAUCUCUUCGGAACAUCGAAAUAAAGCGGUGCUGUGUGUGCAAAACGCACACGGCCGU